rnacentral:misc_RNA from 1 species
AGCGAGGCUGAUGAAGAGUGGGGUACGAAUAACGAAGGAACCCAGUCAGCCUAAAGGCAAUUGGUUGCACAAGUGUGAAAAUCCAAUUGUUGUCUCUGUGUUAACAUCACAUCACUAGGUUUCAGCUGCUUGAUUCGAUGCUGAAGUGAGGAAGACUUCUUUACUGAAGCCAGAUGGUCUCUUGUGCAGACGUGAAUACGCCAUGUGCGAAUAUACUCAACUAUAUGAUCG